GACGAACGCUGGCGGCGUGCCUAAUACAUGCAAGUCGAACGCAGUGGGGACGGGUGCUUAACACGUGGGUAACCUCCCUUCAGAGGGGAUAACCCUUGGAAACAGGCGCUAAACCGCUACUGAUGGAUGGACUCGCGGUGCAUUAGCUAGUUGGUGAGGUAACGGCUCACCAAGGCCACGAUGCAUAGCCGACCGGAGAGGGUGAUCGGCCAAACUGGAACUGAGACACGGUCCAGACUCCUACGGGAGGCAGCAGUGGGGAAUCUUCGGCAAUGGACGAAAGUCUGACCGAGCAACGCCGCGUGAGUGAAGAAGGUUUUCGGAUCGUAAAGCUCUGGUGUUAGAGAAGCGGUAUCUAACCAGAAAGCCACGGCUAACUACGUGCCAGCAGCCGCGGUAAUUC
rnacentral:rRNA from 1 species